GAUGAACGCUGGCGGCGUGCCUAAUACAUGCAAGUCGAGCGAACAGAUGAUGAGCUUUCUCCUCUAACGUUAGCGGCUGACGGGUGAGUAACACGUGGAUAACCUACCUCUAAUUCUGGGAUAACUUCGGGAAACCGGUGCUAAUACCGCCUAAUAUAUUGAACCGCAUGGUUCAAUAGUGAAAGACGGUUUUGCUGUCACUUAUAGAUGGAUCCGCGCCGCAUUAGCUAGUUGGUAAGGUAACGGCUUACCAAGGCAACGAUGCGUAGCCGAACUGAGAGGGUGAUCAGCCACACUGGAACUGAGACACGGUCCAGACUCCUACGGGAGGCAGCAGUAGGGAAUCUUCGACAAUGGGCGAAAGCCUGACGGAGCCACGCCGCGUGAGUGAUGAAGGUCUUCGGAUCGUAAAGCUCUGUUAUUAGGGAAGAACAAAUGUGUAAGUAACUAUGCACGUCUUGACGGUACCCAAACAGAAAGCCACGGCUAACUACGUG
rnacentral:rRNA from 1 species